AACGGUCUAUACCUGCGGUACCUGCGGAGGGAUCAUUCAUAAUAAAAGUGAAAUAAAUUAUGGCACUUUUAAAACAAUCCAUAUCCACCUUGUGUGCAAUGUUUUUUUUAUAUCAACUCUUUUAAAUACAAAUUGAUCUGAAAUUAUUUUAUAUGAAUACUUAAUUCAAAAAUAUAACUUUUAACAACGGAUCUCU
rnacentral:misc_RNA from 1 species